rnacentral:rRNA from 1 species
AAUCAACGCUGGCGGCGUGCCUCAGACAUGCAAGUCGAACGCGAAAGGCUCCUUCGGGGGCCGAGUAGAGUGGCGCACGGGUGAGUAACACGUAGGUAAUUUGCCUUUGGGUGGGGAAUAACUCAGGGAAACUUGAGCUAAUACCGCAUAAUGCAGCGGCUCGACAUCGAGACAGUUGUUAAAGCGGGGGAUCGCAAGACCUCGCGCCUGAAGAGAAGCCUGCGGCAGAUUAGCUAGUUGGUAGGGUAAUGGCCUACCAAGGCGACGAUCUGUAACCGGCCUGAGAGGGCGGUCGGUCACACUGACACUGACAUACGGGUCAGACUCCUACGGGAGGCAGCAGUCGGGAAUUUUGGGCAAU